rnacentral:rRNA from 1 species
CCUACGGGUGGCAGCAGUGGGGAAUAUUGCACAAUGGGGGAAACCCUGAUGCAGCGACGCCGCGUGAGUGAAGAAGUAAUUCGUUAUGUAAAGCUCUAUUAGCAGGGAAGAAAAUGACGGUACCUGAGUAAGAAGCCCCGGCUAACUACGUGCCAGCAGCCGCGGUAAUACGUAGGGGGCAAGCGUUAUCCGGAUUUACUGGGUGUAAAGGGAGCGUAGACGGCAGUGCAAGUCUGGAGUGAAAGGCGCGGGCUCAACCCCCGGACUGCUCUGGAAACUGUACGGCUGGAGUGCAGGAGAGGUAAGUGGAAUUCCAAGUGUAGCGGUGAAAUGCGUAGAUAUUAGGAGGAACACCAGUGGCGAAGGCAGCUUACUAGACUGCCACUGACGUUGAUGCUCGAAAGUGUGGGUAUCAAACAGGAUUAGAUACCCCUGUAGUC